AUUGAACGCUGGCGGCAUGCUUUACACAUGCAAGUCGGACGAGUGGCGAACGGGUGCGUAAUAUAUCGGAACGUACCGAGUAAUGGGGGAUAACUAAUCGAAAGAUUAGCUAAUACCGCAUAUUAUUCGAGCGGCCGAUAUCUGAUUUGCUAGUUGGUGGGGUAAAGUCCUACCAAGGCGACGAUCAGUAGCGGGUCUGAGAGGGUGAUCCGCCAGACUGGGACUGAGACACGGCCCAGACUCCUACGGGAGGCAGCAGUGGGGAAUUUUGGACAAGGGGCGCAAGCCUGGUCCAGCCAUGCCGCGUGUCGGAAGAAGGCCUUCGGGUUGUAAAGGACUUUUGUCAGAGAAGCGGUACCUGAAGAAUAAGCACCGGCUAACUACGUGCCAGCCGCCGCGGUAAUAC
rnacentral:rRNA from 1 species